rnacentral:rRNA from 1 species
GACGGAGGAUGCAAGCGUUAUCCGGAAUGAUGGGCGUAAAGCGUCCGCAGGUGGCAGUUCAAGUCUGCUGUCAAAGACCGGGGCUUAACUUCGGAAAGGCAGUGGAAACUGAACAGCUAGAGUAUGGUAGGGGCAGAGGGAAUUCCUGGUGUAGCGGUGAAAUGCGUAGAGAUCAGGAAGAACAUCGGUGGCGAAGGCGCUCUGCUGGACCAUAACUGACACUCAGGGACGAAAGCUAGGGGAGCGAAUGGG